CACAUUAAACGGACAUCAGAAUUACAUUUGAAUUCUUUUGCACUCUAGAUGCAGCGAUAUUUCUUACUUUUUAUUUCGAUAGACACGUGAAAGAAGUGAGAGGUAAAGGGUUAAAAAGAUAACGAAAUGGAACGGAUGGAGCAUGAAUUUACGGAAGCGUCUAUCCAAGCAGAAACGAGAAGAUGAAAUCGGAUGCAUCCACCCGCGUAUCCGUUAGAACCGUUAUACAUACAUAUAAGAGAAGGAACGUAGAAUUUUGGGCACAUUCGACGAAACCUUGGCCUUCCAAUUUAGAAAACAAGAGAUGUCAGUGAAAAGCAAAUGAAUAAUUGUUAUCAACGAAUACUUAUCGGUAUUCCCAUAGUCCGGAAAUCAAUCCGAGGUGUACACAACGAGAAGCUUAUCCACACGUACGCCCGUUUCAUCCAUGAUGACAGCGUUUCCCCGGGAUCCGGACGAGUUGGUUGAAAGUUGGACAGGAGUGGCGGUUGGAUCAUCGGUUGGACACGCGAUCGGUUGGGAAAUUUUUGCACGCGAUCGUCGAGCGCACUUAUCAGCCAACCGAGCCGAAUCCUCGGGACUCUACAACACCGCAAACAUAAUCAACAGCUGUCACGAAGGAAUCAACCGCGAUUAAGCUCGGAGCCCUUCUCAGGCUUGCAGCAACUUGCAACAACGAGCUUGUGAAGUUGAAAGGAAUGAAAUGAAAACACGGAUUUUUUAAUAUAUAUAUAUAUACAUAUACACAUAUAUAAAUAAGACUCGAUAAAUGGUGAUUCUGUUUUGUGUGAAAUAUUUUUCUUUUUCUUUUUAUUAAAUUUCUAAUGGUAAUAUAAUUCUAAUUGUAAAAUAUUUCCAAGUGGAAAAAAUGAUAAGAAUUUGAGAGCUUGUUAAAUUGAAAGGGAAAACAUGGAUUUUUAAUAUAUAUAUAUACAUAUACACAUAUAUAAAUAAGACUCAAUAAAUGUGAUGUAAUAUAAA